GAAGGGUGCAAGCGUUACUCGGAAUUACUGGGCGUAAAGCGUGCGUAGGUGGUUGUUUAAGUCUGUUGUGAAAGCCCUGGGCUCAACCUGGGAAUUGCAGUGGAUACUGGGCGACUAGAGUGUGGUAGAGGGUAGUGGAAUUCCUGGUGUAGCAGUGAAAUGCGUAGAGAUCAGGAGGAACAUCCAUGGCGAAGGCAGCUACCUGGACCAACACUGACACUGAGGCACGAAAGCGUGGGGAGCAAACAGGAUUAGAUACCCUGGUAGUCCACGCCCUAAACGAUGCGAACUGGAUGUUGGGUGCAAUUUGGCACGCAGUAUCGAAGCUAACGCGUUAAGUUCGCCGCCUGGGGAGUACGGUCGCAAGACUG
rnacentral:rRNA from 1 species